GAUGAACGCUGGCGGCGUGCCUAAUACAUGCAAGUCGAGCGAACAGACGAGGAGCUUGCUCCUCUUACGUUAGCGGCGGACGGGUGAGUAACACUUGGAUAACCUACCUAUAAGACUGGGAUAACUUCGGGAAACCGGAGCUAAUACCGGAUAAUAUAUUGAACCGCAUGGUUCAAUAGUGAAAGACGGUUUUGCUGUCACUUAUAGAUGGAUCCGCGCCGCAUUAGCUAGUUGGUAAGGUAACGGCUUACCAAGGCAACGAUGCGUAGCCGACCUGAGAGGGUGAUCGGCCACACUGGAACUGAGACACGGUCCAGACUCCUACGGGAGGCAGCAGUAGGGAAUCUUCCGCAAUGGGCGAAAGCCUGACGGAGCAACGCCGCGUGAGUGAUGAAGGUCUUCGGAUCGUAAAACUCUGUUAUUAGGGAAGAACAAAUGUGUAAGUAACUAUGCACGUCUUGACGGUACCUAAUCAGAAAGCCACGGCUAACUACGUG
rnacentral:rRNA from 1 species